AACGAACGCUGGCGGCAGGCUUAACACAUGCAAGUCGAACGCCCCGCAAGGGGAGUGGCAGACGGGUGGGUAACACGUGGGAACCUUCCUCGUUGUACGGAACAACUCAGGGAAACUUGAGCUAAUACCGUAUACGUCCGAGAGGAGAAAGAUUUAUCGCAAUGAGGCGGGCCCGCGUCGGAUUAGCUAGUUGGUGGGGUAACGGCCUACCAAGGCAACGAUCCGUAGCUGAUCUGAGAGGAUGAUCAGCCACACUGGGACUGAGACACGGCCCAGACUCCUACGGGAGGCAGCAGUGGGGAAUCUUGGACAAUGGGCGCAAGCCUGAUCCAGCCAUGCCGCGUGAGUGAAGAAGGCCUUCGGGUUGUAAAGCUCUUUUGUCAGGGACGAUAAUGACGGUACCUGAAGAAUAAGCCCCGGCAAACUUCGUGCCAGCCGCCGCUGUAA
rnacentral:rRNA from 1 species